UACGGAGGUUCCAAGCGUUGUUCGGAAUUACUGGGCGUAAAGGGAGCGCAGGCGGACGGGUCAGUUUAAAGUGGAAUCCCAGGGCUCAACCCUGGACGUGCUUUGGAUACUGCCUGUCUUGAGUUCGUGAGAGGAAAGUGGAAUUCAGGGUGUAGCGGUGAAAUGCUUAGAUAUCCUGAGGAACACCAGUGGCGAAAGCGACUUUCUGGCACGAAACUGACGCUGAGGCUCGAAAGCAUGGGUAGCGAACGGGAUUAGAUACCCCGGUAGUCCAUGCCGUAAACGUUGUAUACUAGGUGCGGGAGGUAUCGACCCCUUCCGUGCCGAAGCUAACGCAUUAAGUAUACCGCCUGGGGAGUACGCGCGCAAGCGUG
rnacentral:rRNA from 1 species